rnacentral:rRNA from 1 species
AGAACUUAGCAGAGAUGCUUUGGUGCCUUUCGGGAACUCUGAGACAGGUGCUGCAUGGCUGUCGUCAGCUCGUGUUGUGAAAUGUUGGGUUAAGUCCCGCAACGAGCGCAACCCUUAUCCUUUGUGCCAGCGGUCCGGCCGGGAACUCAAAGGAGACUGCCAGUGAUAAACUGGAGGAAGGUGGGGAUGACGUCAAGUCAUCAUGGCCCUUACGAGUAGGGCUACACACGUGCUACAAUGGCGCAUACAAAGAGAAGCGACCUCGCGAGAGCAAGCGGACCUCAUAAAGUGCGUCGUAGUCCGGAUUGGAGUCUGCAACUCGACUCCAUGAAGUCGGAAUCGCUAGUAAUCGUGGAUCAGAAUGCCACGGUGAAUACGUUCCCGGGCCUUGUACACACCGCCCGUCACACCAUGGGAGUGGGUUGCAAAAGAAGUAGGUAGCUUAACCUUCGGGAGGGCGCUUACCACUUUGUGAUUCAUGACUGGGGUGAAGUCGUAACAAGGUAAGCGUAGUGCU